UACAGAGACCUCAAGCGUUAUCCGGAUUUAUUGGGCGUAAAGCGCGUGUAGGCGGGCUUAUUAGUCAGAUGUCAAAUCUCCGAGCUCAGCUCGGAAACUGCAUUUGAAACGGUAAGUCUGGAGAGAGCGAGAGACCAAUGGAACGUAUGGUGUAGCAGUGAAAUGCGUUGAUAUCAUACGGAACACCAAAGGCGAAGGCAUUUGGUUGGCGCUCAUCUGACGCUGAGACGCGAAAGCGUGGGUAGCGAAUGGG
rnacentral:rRNA from 1 species